rnacentral:rRNA from 1 species
AACCCUUGUCCUUAGUUACCAGCACGUUAUGGUGGGCGACUCUAAGGAGACUGCCGGUGGACAAACCGGAGGAAGGUGGGGAGUGACGUCAAGUCAUCAUGGCCCUUACGGCCUGGGCUACACACGUGCUACAAUGGUCGGUACAAAGGGUUGCCAAGCCGCGAGGUGGAGCUAAUCCCAUAAAACCGAUCGUAGUCCGGAUCGCAGUCUGCAACUCGACUGCGUGAAGUCGGAAUCGCUAGUAAUCGUGAAUCAGAAUGUCACGGUGAAUACGUUCCCGGGCCUU